rnacentral:lncRNA from 1 species
CAUAUUAACAGUCAAUAGAAGAAAAACCACAUGGUCAUAUCAAUUGAUAUAGAGAAAGCAUUUGACAAAAUUUGACAUCCAUUCAUGACAAAAAUUUUUAGCAAACUAGGAAUAGAAGGAAACUUCCUCAACCUGAUAAAGGGUGUCUACAAAAACCCACAGCUAACAUCACACUUAAUGGAGAAAGACUGAAUGUUUUCCUAAGUUCAGUAACAAGACAAGUAUCGUUUUUGGGGUUGCAUAUUUAGGUGGUGAAACUCUAACGCAAAGCAAAGAAUUGAUUAUUAGUCCAGCCAGGAUAGUGGUUCCCUCCAGGACGGAAGGGAGAGAGGCAGCUAUAAUUGAGAAGGGGCACUCAGGGGUCUUCUGGAUGCUGGUGAUAAUCUAUUUCUGACCUAAUGGUGGUUUCAGGGGUGUUCAUGUUAUGACAAUUUGUUAUGCUGUAUACUUGUUUUAGGCACUUUCUUGUAUUUGCAUUGUAUUUCUCAAUAAAAUGUUAUGGAAAAAAUGACUAUUUAAAAAAAAUUUUAAAGUUAGCUUUUUUAGAAAGAAAAAUUAGCACCUUACUCCUCAUAAUUUCCUAUAUUCUUAAUAUUAGCAGUAACAAUUAAUAAAUAGCUGAAAUAAAGAAUUGCCCUCAGGAGCUUUUAUUGUAAUCAAAAUCAUGAUUUUAACGACUCAGAAUGGAACGUGCUUAACUGCUGAGUUUGGUUUUCUCCUCUGCACAGUGAUGGGGGCUAGGACGCUUUCCUUCUGGUUCUGGGUGGGGCCCACCGCGCAGGGCAGAAUGCAGGAGCACCAGCCAGCAAUCUCCCGAGUCUGUUCUCAGCUUCAAUCCAAACCCCUCUGACUGAAAAACAAUGUCAAAAAUUGGCCUUAAUUACCUAAAAGCUUUUUAUAUAAGUUCCUUAGAAGAUUAUUUAUAGCAAAGCCAUUUAAUGUCAUUAAGAUAAUUCCAUGUGCAUUUUUUUAAAAACUUAUUUUAAAUUCUAGUGAUGGCUCAAAAUGUCUUUCCUAAUUAUUUAAGUUUCACUUGCUUAAAAUGCAGCUUAAAAUAAAAAUUUGGAUCAAGGGGCUAAUCAGAAUUUCAUAAAACACGCAUGGAUAGAAAAUCGAGGGUAGGUAAAAAUCCCAUAACUAAAUCCUAAUUUACAUCAGUACUAUCGAGAAAAUGUAAAGCUAUGUAGGCAGCCUUUAGCAAAAGGGCAUGUGUAAUAACCUCAAUUCUUCUUUUUCCAGAGUUGGAAAAAAAUUAUUUAAAGCUUGAAUUUUUGUUAGGAGUACUCAUUUACUCUAAAAUUUAAAAAGAUCUCACUUUAGGAGAGAUCUGGAGGUUUUCUAAAAUAUAUGAUAUAGCAGCCCAUUCUUGUGUUUUGUUACACAUGAUAAAGUUUCAAAUUUGUUAGUAAAAUGUAGAAUUCCCUUCUUUGUGAUUCCUUUUCAUCUUUUCUACGUCUAGAAAGUAGCUCCCCAUCCAAUUCUCAUUUUUCCAAUUAAGCUCAUUCAUUCACAUAACAAGUAUUGAACAUCUAAUACAUGAAACACUGUUCUAGGUAGACAUCAGAAAACAGACAAUAUUUCCCACCCCAUGGAGACAAAAAACAGAAUAAGUAUAUUACAUGAUAAUUAGAAGGUAAUAAGAGCCAUGAGAAAAAACCUAUAGCAAGGUUCUAGAGAUCAAUAGUGUCAGGACAAGGGCUGGGAGGUGGGGCUUGUUGAGAUUAUAAACAAGGUGAUCAGAGAAGAACUCAUGUGAAGAGAUGCCAUUUGAGGAAGCUACUUAAAGAAGGUGAGUGGGUAAGCCAUGUAGAAAUUUGGAGGGAGAACAUCCUAGGUGAAGGGAAGAGCAUGUGCAAAAGCUCUGAGGCCAGAGGAUGCCUAGAGUGUUCAAGGAACAGCAUAGAGUUCACUAUGGCUGGAGCAGAGGGAGCAAGUGGAAGAAUAAUCAGAGAUGCAGUCAGAGAGAUCGUUCUGACGGCUUUGUUGAAAAUACACUGUAGGGAGACAGGGUAGAUGCAGAGUGACCUGUUAAGAGGAUAUUACAAUAAUCCUGGUGAGAUGUGAUGGUGGCUUGGACCACAAUGUAACCGUGAAAGUGGUAACUGGAGGUCAGAUCUUGGAUAGAAGCUGAAGGUAAGAUUUUUCAGUGGAAGGAUGGAGUGGUUGUCAACUGAGAUGAAGAAGAAUAUGGGUGGAGGGGGGAUGGACAGGAUUAGUUCAACUUUUGACAUGUUAAGUUAGAUACCCAUUUGACAUUAAAGGACAACUUCGAGUAGUGUAAUGGGUUGAACAGUGGCACCCCAAAAUCGUGUCCACCCAGAACCUCAGAAUGUGACUUUAUGUGGAAAUGGGAUCUUUGCAGAUACAAUUUUUUAAAUUAAGAUGAGAUCAUACUGGAUUAGGAAGAGCUCUAUAUCCAAUGACUAGUGUCCUUAUAAGAAGGCCAAGUGAACACACAGAGACAGACAAAGGAGAACGUAAUGUGAGAAUGGAGGCCGAGAGUAGAAGAGUGAUGUGUGUACAGACCAAGUCAUGCCAAGGAUUGCCUGCAACCACCAGAAGCUAUGGGAGAGACAUGGAACAGCUUCUCCCUCAAUGCCUCCAGAAGGAACCAACCCUGCGGACAACUUGAUUUCAGACUUCUGGCCUUCUAAACUGUGAGAUCAUAAAUUUCUGUUUUAUGCCCCCUAGUUUGUGGUAAUUUGAUAUGGUAGCCCUAAGAGAAUAAUAUAAGUAGGCGAUUGAAAAUAUGAGAGUGAAGUUUAGGGGAAAGAUCUAGACCAAAGAUAUGAAUUUGCGUGUUGGAAUCAUGUAGACAGUGUUUAGAGCCAUGAGAUUAAAUUUGAAGAAAAUUGAUGCACAUAGGCAAGAGAACAGCAAGUACCAAGCCCUGGGGCAUCAAUGUUAAGAGUUUGAGAAGAAGAGAAGGAAGCAGGUAAGGAGAAUAACCGGUGAGGUGGGAGAAGAGGCAGGAGAGUAACAGCCUACAAGUCUCAUGAAGAGUCUUUUUUGAUGGAGAGUGGUCAGUUAAAUCGAGCGAGAUAAAAAAUCAAAAUUUCGCAUUGAACUGAUUAAUACAAUGGCCAUUUGGCAAAUUUCACAAAGAGUGUUUUGUUGGAGUCCUGGGAAAGAAAGUCCAAUUUGGAGUGGAUUCCGGGGAGUACGUGAGAAAAGGAAUUGUAUACAAUGACUGUAGAAAAGACAAGCGGCAAAACAGUGUAAUUUUGCUUUAAAAAAGAGCAGUCAAAAUGGGGUUUCUGGAGGAAUAAGUGAGGUCAAGAGAAGGUUGUUUGAAAACGGGAAAAAUAAUGGCAUACUUACAUGAAAAAGAGAGUGAUCCAGGAAAGAGGUGGUGACUGAGCACUGGAAACGUGGUGAGUCCCAAUUGAGACGUGCUGUACGCACAAAAGACACACCAGAUUGCAUAGACUUAGAAUGAGCAAACAAAUGUAAAAUAGCUUAUGAAUAAUUUUUACAUUGAUUACAUGUUGAAAUAAUAUUUUGAGUAUAUUGAGUUAACAAAAAGAUACAAUUCAAAUUCUUUUCACCUAUUUCUUUUUACCUUUGGUACUAGAAAAUUUUUAAUUCCUCGUGUGGUUUGCAUUAUAUUUCUAUUGGACAGAGCUGCUCCAGUGCCCAAGGGAAGGAAUCGGCCUUACAUUGGAGCAAGAACAGUCUGUCUAAGAUACUAAGAGGGAAAGCAGUGCAUAGGGGUGAAAUGCUGGUGGGUGAGCGGAGGAGGUGGUGGGUGUUUGAAAAAGGCUUUAGUUUUCUCAGUGAAUGAAGAAGGAAGAUAAUCCCUAAAUUGGGUUCAAUUAACUGUGUAGAAUUCAUUUGGUGAAGAAUGUAAGGUAAGAAUCUAAAUAGAUUUUCCCCAAAUAACUGACCAUUUGCCCCAGAACCACUUAUUAAGUAAGACUUCCUCCCCACUGAUGUGUGAUGGCUUGUUUUUCAUAAAAUAAAUUCUGUGAUUUCUUUCUGAGCUGUCUGCUCCAUUGAUCUGACAAGGCUUCCACUUGACCCAUAAUGGUUUAAUUAUUGUAGCUAUUGAAGGGGUUCAGAACAUGCCAGCCAAAAACAUGCCAUUUUGGCACAUUGAUUAUUUUGAGCUGAAGGCACUUGAAAAACAGCAGAUGCAGGACUGGCUCUCUGAUCUCCCCCUUUCUACCUAAAAGCAGAUCAUAAAAUUUCCCAAGAGAAAGGUGCCUCACUGCACCAGGAAGAGAAGAGCAUCCUUAUCGUGGGAGAUGGGCAAUCAAUACCAGAACGCACGUGCACGAACAACCUGCUAAAAUAAGCUUCAUCUUCCUUUCUAAUUGAUACGUUGUGGAAAGCUCUGGAUGUAUGCAUAUGAAGCUUAUAUUUAUUCUCUACCACUUGUCAAGAACCUGCUAUGUACCAGGCCACGUGCAGGUGCUAAUCUUCACAGCCACUGUGAGGGAAUUGAAAUUAAUUAAUUUAUUAUUUUAAUAGUUUUUCAGUUAAUUCCCUGAAGUUUUCUCUAUAUGCAAUUAUAUCAUCUACACAAAAUAAUAUCCCUA